rnacentral:tRNA from 1 species
GGACGGGUGCCAGAGCGGUUGAACGGCGCUGACUCGAAAUCAGAUGGUGGGUUUAUACCUGCACGGGGGUUCGAAUCCCUCCUCGUCCGCCA